rnacentral:rRNA from 1 species
CCUACGGGAGGCUGCAGUGAGGAAUAUUGGUCAAUGGCCGGAAGGCUGAACCAGCCAUGCCGCGUGAAGGUCAGUGCCCUAUGGGCGUUAAACUUCUUUUGUGCGGGAGCAAUAAUGGUCACGUGUGGCCAGACGAGAGUACCGUACGAAUAAGCAUCGGCUAACUCCGUGCCAGCAGCCGCGGUAAUAAGGGGGAUGCAAGCGUUAUCCGGAUUUAUGGGGUUUAAAGGGUGCGUAGGCUGUGAGGUAAGUCAGCGGUGAAAUGCCCCCGCUCAACGGGGUGAAGUGCCAUGGCGACUGGCUUGCUGGAAUGCGUAUGCCGUGGGAGGAAUGUGUGGUGUAGCGGUGAAAUGCAUAGAUAUCACACAGAACACCGAUUGCGAAGGCAUCUCACGAAUCCGCGAUUGACGCUGAUGCACGAAAGCGUGGGUAUCAAACAGGAUUAGAUACCCGGGUAGUC